GAAAAAAUUUCUGAAUGCGUCGCAUCUUAUUGUAAGAAUAAGAAAUUAGUUAUAACUAUCUAAGGGUAGUUAUGUAAAUUUGUAUUAGUUUACUAGUUAUAAAUACAGAGUUAUAUGUAAACAGAUAAUUAAGUUGAACACUUACUUUGAAUAGUAUAUUGGGUUUGUUAAACCUAGUUCAUCAUCAUCAUCUUCUUCUUCUUGAUAACUCAGAUACUACGAUCUACUCUGAGUUAUAAUCCUUACAUGGUGUCAUUCGCUACAGGCGUUGAUCUGGGAUUUCUUCUGCCUUUUCCACUUACCCAAAUCGGUAUAUUCAAGUCCGAUUUCUUUCCGCUAUCUGAUCGGGUUUGUUGUUCGUUGGCAGUUUGCGAUUUUUUUUUUCUGGGCUACCCAAUGAGUUCCGAAUCAGAUGUGAUAACUCCUGCAAUGAUCGGCUCAAGAGAGACAAUGGCUCUGAAUCAAAUGUCCUACAGCUUGAAUUCGCUAUGUUCCAAUCCGAUAACCCGUGAGACCUUUUUGUCAUGGAAAAAUCAGAUUGAAGGGGUGCUUAGACAUCACAAGUAUCUUAGUUUCGUGAGACGCACAUUGGUGAUACCUUCAGCUAGGCUUGAGGAUGGAACAAAAAAUCCAACAUUUGAGAUACAUACAAAAAUUGAUGAAAUAGUAUUGAGCUGGAUCAAGGCGACUGUUUCACCCCCAAUUCAAACAAUCAUCAUACGAUGCAAAACUUCUAUGGAGGCGUGGGAGCUGUUAGAGAAGGAAUAUUCUCCGAUUGGCAAGUCAAAAAUGCAAUCACUCCGGGAGAAAAUGUGGGGUUUAAAGAAAACCCCUGAGGUAUUAAUGUCUGAUUAUUUACUACAAUUUAAAUCACUAAAAAAAUUCUUUGCUAGCAACUGGAUAUGAAAUUCACGAUGAUCAUGUUGUUGAAUAUGUUUUGGAUGAGCUUGGUAGUGAAUAUAGGAUAUUUUUAUCUACUCUAAAUUCUAAAGAUACAUUUACAUUUGAACAACUAUCUGAUUGGCUAGUUAAGGAGGAUACCAUGAUUAGAAGAGUUGAUGCAAAACAGAAUUUAUGUGAUUUUUCUGUUAACUAUGCAUACAAAAAGGGUUAUAAGGGAAAAUCUUAUGGAUACAAACCUAACAACAAACAGAAUUAUUCUAAUCAGAAUAAUGCUCCUAAAACAGUAACAAUACCUAAGCCUUUGAAUCCCAAUAACAAACCACCUCUACUGAAUGUUCCUGAAUCCUUAAAUAUUAGUCAUGACUGUCAAAUAUGUGACUAACAUGAACAUCUAGCUAAGAAUUGUCCAGAGAUAUGUAAUUUUUCUGCAUACAUUGUGGAUCAGCAAGAUGAUUAUCCAGAGAUAGAGGAAAAUUCAGAAAAUAAGGAGUAUACAGUUCAUAAUAUUGAAGAUCAACCAAAUUAUUCGAGUGAACUGUAUAACAUGGAUAUUGGUGUCUAGACUCUGGUGCAUCCACUCACACAACCUUAGAGGAAGUCUACUACUCAGAGAGCAAACCAUAUACAGGUAAAUCCAAUGUUAAAGUAGGUAAUGGAUAAAUUAUUCCUAUUUCUAGAAUAGGAACAAUUAUUUUUUAUGUUAAUGGCAAAGAAUUCAAAAUAACUCAGGUAUUGUGUGUACCUCAGUUAGAUAAAACUUUGAUCUCUGUUCAAAAAUUAGCAUCUGAUAUGAAUGUAUCUAUAAUUCUAAAUAAAAAUGAUUUUUUGGUAAAGGAUGUGAAGACGAAGGAAAUUUUGUUCACUGGGAUUAGUAACAAAGGAUUGUACCACUUCACACCAGAUUUUCAUAAUUAUGAAUGUUAUAGACUUGAUAUUUCUGAAGACGUGGCACAAGAGAUUAGGACACCCUUCAGCUCAGACUUUUAAAAGAAUAACUCCUUAUAUUUCUGUAGAUAGGACUGUGAAUAAAAAAUUCUGUAAUAAUUGCCCAAUGGGCAAAAUACAUCUGUUACUUUUUGUUAAAAGUUCAAUAAAUACAAUAAAAUGUUUUAAUAUAAUUUAUCUAGAUGUUUGGGCUGCUCCUGUAAUGUCAAGGAAAGGUUUUAGAUAUUUUUUAACAAUAGUGGAUGACAAAACUAGAUACACUUGGUUUGCUCCACUUUACAAUAAAAGUGAUGUGAUAACUGAAUUUAUAGCCUUCUCAAAAAUGGUAACAAAUAAAUUUCAAACACAUAUUAAGAUGGUCCAAUCUGACGAGGGAGGUAAAUUUAAAUCACAAAACUUUAUAAAAAAUUUAAAAACUAAUGGUAUUACAAUUAGGUAUAGUUGUCCAUACUCUCCUCAACAAAAUGGUGUUGUUGAGAGAAAACAUAGACAUAUUGUGGAAAUGUCUAGAUGUUUAUUUCAUCAGUCAAAAUUAUCUCAGAUUUUUUGGCCUGAGGUAAUAGAGACUUCAAUAUUUUUAAUAAAUAGAUUUUACCUACACCUAUUUUUAAGGGUCUUUGUCCUAAUCAGGAACUUUUAGGAAAGAAACCUGCCAGUGUUAAAAGGCUUUGGUUGUAGUUGUUUUCCUCUUAUUCGCUCAAGAUAUAGGAAUAAGUUUGAUCCAAAAAGUGUUGAGUGUGUUUUCUUUGGAUACUCUGCACAACACAAAGGAUACAAGUGUCUUGUUUUAAGUUCUGGGAAAACUAUAAUUUCCAGAAAUGUAAGAUUUAAUGAAGAAUGCUAUCCAUUAGAAGAGCUAGGCUUAAACAAUGAGAGUAAGAGCAAAAAGACUGGGAAUAAUUUUAAUUCAAUUUCCAGUAUUAUCACUUUUUCCAAUGUUUUUAAUCAUAGGAAAGUAAUUAAGGAAAUAGAGGAGAUGAGUGGAGAUAUAAGUCAGCCUACAAAAUUAAUAGUUAAAAAAUUAGAUACUCCUAAUACUAUUAACAACUUACCCUCUGAAAAGUUUCCUAUUAAAGAAAUAACAGUGAUGGAAAAGAAUCAUGAACCAUCUUCUUCUAAAAACCUGGAUGAUUCAAUUCCACUUAGGAUUCCUGAUAUAAAUCUAGCAUGUGAUGAAAAUAAUACAAUUUCUGAUUUAGGGAAACAAAAUAACAAGGAAGGUAUAAAUUCUGAUCAAAAUCAGAAUAAUAGCUUAAAUAUUUAGAAUAAUGUUCUGUCAACAAGACAUGCUGCUGGAAAUAUAAAUCCAGAAGUUAAUCUAUCAAAAGAAUCUAAUGUAGGGAAAGCAAUAGCUGAUUUAGAAAAACAGCACUCCCUAAUUAAUAUCUCAAAUACUAGACAAGAAAGGUCAAAAAUACAAUCUAAUGAAAAAUCAAUCAUAAAAAUUAAUUCACCUAAAAGUUUGAAUGUAGUUAAAGCAGUAGCUAAUUUAGAAAUGAAAAUUAAUAAUGAUCUAUUACAACAACAAAAAACCAAAAGGAUAAGUAAAAAACCUAAAUAUUUAGAAAACUUUGAGUGUUCUUUAGCUGAAAAUAUUGAUGAAAAAGAACCAACUUGUUUUAGUCAAGCUUCAAAAUUAACUGAAUGGAUGAAAGUAAUGAAUGAAGAAAUUCAUGCUUUAGAUCUUAACAAGACUUGGACUCUUGUUUGUCCUAAACCUAAUAUGAACAUUAUAGGAAGUAAAUGGGUUUUUUAAAUAAAAAGAAAGGUUGAUAGGACAAUUGAAAGAUAUAAGGCUUGGUUAGUGGCUAAGGGUUUCGAUCAAGAGGAAAGGGUAGACUAUGAUCUUACCUAUAGUCCAGUAAUUAGAGUAUCAACAGUAAGAACUAUAAUUGCUCUUGCUGUAAGCUUUAAAUGGCCUUUAAGACAACUAGAUGUAAGGAAUGCUUUUUUAAAUGGCUAUAUCACAGAGGUAGUAUACAUGAAACAACCUACAGGAUUUGUUAAUAAAAAUAAUCCUAAACAUGUGUGCUUGUUAAAUAAAGCACUAUAUGGACUAAAACAAGUUCCAAGAGUUUGGUACUCUAGAUUGCAAUUAUUCUUGAUUAAUCUAGGGUUCUGUAAUAGUAAAUCAGAUUCUUCCCUGUUUUGUUUGGCUAAUGAUGAGAUAAAAAUCUACAUACUAGUUUAUGUAGAUGAUAUAAUUAUAACUGGGGACAAUAAUGCUAAGAUAGAUGAGUACAUCUCAUUUAUUUCUCAGACCUUUGCCUGUAGAGAUCUGGGGAAUUUGCAUUUCUUUCUAGGGCUUGAGUGUAUCAGGAAGAAUGAUGGAAUAAUAAUGUUUCAAGGGAAAUAUAUCAAAGAUCUAUUAGAAAAAUUUGGAUUAAGUUCAUGCUCACCAUGUCCAACUCCUAUGAAAAUUUCACCUAAGCUUACAAAGAUUGAUGGUACAACUAUAGAAGAGGUAACUUUAUAUAGGAGCAUGGUAGGUUCAUUACAAUAUCUGGCUCUAACAAGGCCUGCUAUAGCUUUUUAAGUCAAUAAUGUGAGUCAAUUUUUGCAAAAUCCAUCAGAUAUGCAUAUGAUAGCAGUAAAAAGAAUUUUUAAAUAUUUACAAGGAAUUUUUAAAUAUUUUUAAACCACAUACCAGAACUCCACCUUCUCUAGAAGAAGAUGGACCUGAAUUCAAUGAUAACAUCACUUCUAAAAAUCCAAGCUCAAUCAACCUCAAGUGAUCCCACCACCAAGUCUAGAAGGCCAAGUAAAAGGCCGGGAUACCUAAAUGACUACUUCUGCUCUUUUGCAACAAGCAAAGGAAACUCAAAAGGAACUUCAUUUCUAAUGCAUGAUUACAUAACCUACAAAAAGCUAUCAUCUUCCUGUUGGAUCGAGAUCCGAGGCUAUAAGGGGGGAUAAUAGCCUCUUUUCAAUUUAUGCAAGUUAAUAGCGGAAUUACCUGCACACACUUAAGUACACAAAUAGUUGUAUAAUAAUAAUAGUAUAAUAUUCUUAGCAAUACAAUACUAUUAUAUAAUUUUAAAGAAUAUAAUAUUAUAUCUUAUAAUAUUAUAUAUUGGACUUGCCUUUUACUCUUGAAGUUUACUACAGUAUAUGAAUACGUAGUCAACUUUUCAGAUGGUGUUUUAUAAACAACUAUAGUAUAUGAAUACUAAGUUAUAUUAUAAACACAAGUUAUAUUAUAGAGUAAAUGACUAGAUAACUGGAUAUAUUGAUAAGCAAGUAAAUGACCAGAUAACUGGAUAUAUUGAUAAACAAGUAAAUGACCAGAUAACUGAAUAUAUAUAUGAUAAGUAAAUGCUUGAACAAAUAUAUGAAUAAAGAUUUAAAGCAAUGAAUAUAACCUCAGAUAGUUGACCAGAUAACUGGAUGAGGGAUCUGCGUAAAGUAGUCAACCUCUGUAUUUGACCAGAUAACUGGAAGAGGGAUCCUUUUCAAUUAAGUGUUGUUUAGUUGUUUUUAGAUGAAAGAUAAAAACUAGAGUUAACAAAGAACAACACAAGAGAUUUAUACUGGUUCACCCAAACAAGGGCUAGUCCAGUCCCGACCAACUGCCGGAAUUCACUCGCCUAAAGGUUAUGGCAAAACCAUAGAGUAUCAAGGAAACUCUUAAGAACCUUUCUAAGCUUUAAGGCUACUUCGCUUAGGAACCAGUCUUUUACGGGUAGACUCACACCUUAGAGUAUCAAUGACACUCUUAAGAAUCUCUAACUUUUGCGGGUAAGUUAGUACCUUAAAGUAUCAAGGAACUCUUAAAAACCUCUCUAAGCUUUAAGGCUACUUCGCUUAGGAACCAGUCUUUUACGGGUAGACUCACACCUUAGAGUAUCAAGGGCACUCUUAAGAACCUCUAACUUUUACGGGUAAGUUAGUACCUUAGAGUAUCAAGGAACUCUUAAAAACCUCUGAAAUCUUUCAAGGUAGACUCGACCUAAGAGUUUUCCCAGAAACUCUAUAAAACCAAACUAGAGCUUUAUGGUUGAGCUCAAAAACCUUCUCUCACACUUUGGUACUAUUGACACAACCCUCUCAACCAAAGUGGACACACACAAGAGAAGAUUAGAGGAGUGGAAUAUUAAAGCAAACAACACUUCUUACUUGUAAAGAUGAACAAGAAGAUUAGAAGAAGAAGUUGGAGAGCUUUUGAAGCUUUGGAAAGCUAUGACACUUGAGCACUUGAAAGCUUGGAAGCUUGGAGGCAAAAACGUGUGGGCAAGUGUGGAGUGAAAGAUCUUGAGUUUGCUUGUAGUGUUGUGAGUGAAAAUGAGGGGAUUAUCCUUCUAUUUAUAGCCUUGGCCACUCAAUGUCCACCCUUGGAUCUUCAAUGGAUGGCUCUUUGAUUUCUCACAUAAAUCCAAGCUUUGUCUUUGAUCUUAUCUUGAAUAGUGCUUUUCUUGGAUAGAGUUUGUUGGAGAAUCUUAUCUUUGUAUAAAUUCAAACUUGAAUAGUGUUUUGUCCCAUUGAAAUAUUAUACCUUGAAUAAAGUGUCAAAAGAUAAUAAUAAUAAUAUUCAAGGUAAAAAUGCAAUUAUUCCAAAUAAUAAUAUUCAAGGUGAAAAUACAAUUCUCCCAAUUUGACUUUUAACUUUGACUUAAACCCUUAACUCAAAUGAUUAAUUAAUUAACUGGAGUUAGGUUUAAUAUCGAUUGACUUAUUUACCCCUUUUGAUUAAUAGUGUAAUUAGGGUUUAAAUUGACAUGAUUAAAAUAUAAUCAUAUAUCGACAAUUUUGAUUCUAUCUACACUUCCCAUACUGAUUUCUUAGACAAAAUCUCUAUCACUAGUGAACCAUCCUCUUACAAACAAACCAUACUUGAUCCCCAAUGGAUCAAAGCAAUGAAUGAAGAGCUAUCGGAAUUAAACAAAACUUGGGAAAUUGUCCCAAGACCCAAUGAUAGAAAAAUAAUUGGAUCUAGAUGGGUAUAUAAAAUCAAGUAUAAAUCCAAUGGUGACAUUGAAAAAAUAUUGGAUUGAAGCCAAUUUUGAUAUACAUUAUAAGACAAGUAUGAUAUGAUAAUUUAAAUUGCCUUGUGCUAAGAUCAUGCAAUGAAUAAUAAUCCAUGUGUGUGUUAUGGAUGAAGAUGAUCUUAUCAUGUAUGGAUUAAAGAUUUUAUAAUGUUAUAAUCCAUAAGAUAUUAGUGAAUGAUAUGUAUAAAUCCAUAAUAUUCACUAAUUGCUUUAAGAAGACAUUGAGCAUUUAAAAUUUUAAAAUCUAUGUCUUAGUGACAAAUAUAAUCAUGUAAAUAUUCACUAAGUUUUAAAAGAUUUAAAAUUUUCAUUUCAGUCCUUAAAGCCUUAGUAGUAAAACUUCACUUAAAAUAAAAUUUCAUUUAAGCCCUUUGAAGUUAUAAUAAAUACUUAGAUUAAUACUUGAAAUAUUUCAUGUAAACCUUGGAAGUAUUAACCAAUUCUAAGCAUUGAAAACUUCAUGUAAAUAUUAAUUUUAAGUCCUUGAAGUUUUAACUAAAUAUUUAUUCACUGUAAAGAUAUCAUCUUGACCCUUAAGGUUUAGUGAAUCUAUUAGAACUUAAAAACUUCAUAAACGAUUUACGUUUAAGUCCUUGAAGUUUCACAAAACUUUAUAUUCACUGAACAAUAUAACUUUAAUCCUUAAGCUUCCAGUGAAUUAUUUUAAACUUAGAAACUUCAAACAUAAUUUAUGUUUAAGCCCUUGAAGCUUCUAGUUUAUUCAUACAACUUAGUGAGAAAUUGAUUUUUCAUUGAAGUUUUUUUUCACUAACAAUAAAGCAAGCUUAGGUCUAUGGUUAGACCUUAAACAAAACAGACUUAAACAAAGUAGAAACAUCUAUUUAACAGAUGUUGUACCAUCGAUCAAACGAAAAAGGAACAUCUAAAUCAGAUAGCAUCGAGUAGGCAUAGCAAGCUAAUCACAACCAUGGUUGAUGGUGUUAGCUUCCUCAGUGGGAACUUUUAACAUCUCGAUUUGAUAUUGCAAGUCUGCGAUCAGAGCUCCUUGGUUUUUAAUACUUGAUUCCAGCACUUUAAUCCUUGAUUUUGCCUCAUCGAUCUCUUUAAACAGGUGAGUAGUUAUCUCAGAUUGACUUACUUGCUUCUUCCCUGUGAUGAGAUCCAUCACCUUUUUCCAGUCUGGAUCAUAAGAAUCCAUUUUGAAGAUGAUAGGAAUGGGUGAGAAAGGAAGGUUUUGGUUUGAGAGUGAACAACCUAGUAUUUAUAGAUGAAGCUUUUAGGUUUCCAAGAAUUUCUUGUUUUUGGUUUGACUAAGCCAUGAAAAAUCGUUUUAUCUUGUAGUCUCCUUCUCAAAAGAGGGUUCUUUAAUUUCCCAUGUACUGACAUGACUUGUUAGAUUUAACAAGUAAUGAGAUUUUGAAACUAUCAUCUAAGAGCUAGCUAGGAUCUUAGCAAGGCUUGUAUUUUAGUGGCUUGUAACCAGAAUAAUAUUUAAUUUAAAACAUACCUUUUGGUGGUCUUCAAUGCAUUCUUUGCACUAUGCACGAUAGUCCAUGCUCCUAGUUGUCGUGAGUGACUAGUUAUGACAGGUUUGCUAGAUGAAGUUGCAGCAUCGAUGUUGUAGAAUGUGCAGAAGACGAUUCUCAAUGCCAUGAGGUAAGGUUUGGAUUACCAAUACCAUGUGAUGUUGAUUUUGCUCAAUAUAUUAUAUUCAAGAUAUGACAUAAUGCAGUAUGGUGCAACAUAAUAUUAAUUUCAUAAUUUUUCCAUACAUGUAAGUGAUGACAUGUCAUAUGCAUGAGUCAAUUUAAACAGUAGUAAAGACAUGACAUAUUUUGGCAUAAUCAUUUCAUAAAAUUAUAAUUUUCAUUGUAUACACAUCGUUUGUUCACUUGUAGAUCAUGUAUGUGAAUGAUAAGCAUGUCCAUGUAAACAACUAUUUAUAGUAGCAUGCAAUGUAUUAACAGCGUUCAAUUGUAAGCAUGCAUCUAAUUUAUAGUAACAUGGCAUAUACGAUAGUCAUGCAUUCAAGUUAAGCUCUUCACGUUAUGCAUGCAAAUGAUGAAUUAUAUGUAUAUACUUAGUCAUGUAAAUCUUAGAUUUGUAAAUUCAUGCAUACGUAUAUUCAUUAUGAUCAAAGUUAUAAGUAUAACGAUAUUCAAGUGAAGAAUAAAACCUGAGAUGCAUUAACUCAUAACUAAUCAAAUUUCACUAAGCUCACAUAUACCCAUAGAUCUUCUGAUUUUUGAAUGAACUUCUUGAUCUAAAGGUUUAGUGAAGAUGUCAGCCAUUUGAUCUUCAGUAGAAAUAUAUUCUAGGCAUAUAUUUUUCUUUUCUACAUGAUCUCUAAGGAAAUGAUGUCUGACAUCAAUGUGUUUAGAUCUUGAAUGUAACACAGAGUUUUUUGAUAAACAAAUUGCACUCUUGUUGUCACAUUUAAGAGCUACUGUUUCUAAAGCUAUAUCGUAGUCGGAUAAUGUUUGUUUCAUCCACAAAAUUUGAGUGCAUGCAUUAGAUGCUGCCAUAUAUUCUGCUUCAGUUGUGGAUAAAGCAAUACUAUUUUGCUUUUUACAUGACCAUGCUACGAGUGAGCUUCCCAACAGAAAGCAUGUUCCACUAGUGCUUUUUCUGUCAGUCUUGCAUCCACCAAAGUCAGCAUCACAGUAUGCUGUUAGUGUGAAUGAGUUGUCCUUAGGGUAGAAUAAUCCAAGUGUAAUUGUUCCUUUGAUAUACCUGAUUAUUCUUUUAACCGCAUUGAGAUGUGACUCUUUUGGGUCUGAUUGGAAUCUAGCACAUAAGCAGACUGCAAACAUGAUGUCUGGUCUGCUGGCUGUUAGGUAUAGCAGUGAUCCAAUCAUUCCUCUGUAUUUCUUAAUGUCUACUGAUUGACCUUCAACAUCUUUGUCCAAUUUAAGAGUUGAACUCAUCGGAGUUGGCAUAGAUUUAGAUUCAGUCAAGUCAAAUUUCUUUAUUAAUUCCUUAGCAUAUUUGACUUGACUUAGGAAUAUUCCAUUCUCCUUCUGUUUGACUUGUAGACCUAAGAAAAAAGUCAACUCUCCCAUCAUACUCAUUUCAAAUUCGUCUUCCAUUUGUUUGGAAAAUUUCUUACAUAGAGUAUCAUCGGUUGAUCCAAAUAUAAUGUCAUCAACAUAGAUUUGAAUUAGAAUAAUGUCACUUUUGACAUUUUUAAUGAACAAUGUAUUAUCUAUACUCCCCAUUCUAAAUUCCUGAGAAGUGAGAAAGUUUCUUAGUCUUUCAUACCAAGCUCGGGGUGCUUGUUUCAGGCCAUAGAGGGCUUUCUUAAGUUUAAGGACGUGAUCAGGGUUUUUGUAAUCUUCGAAACCAGGGGGUUGUCUAACAUAUACUUGUUCAUUGACUAUUCCAUUCAAGAAUGCACUCUUUACAUCCAUUUGAUAUAAUUUGAAAUCUUUGUAGCAUUCAAAGGAUAGGAGCAUUCCGAUAGACUCUAGUCUAGCUACUGGUGCAAAGGUUUCAUCAUAAUCAAUUCCUUCUUGUUGAUUGUAUCCUUGCACAACCAGUCUAGCUUUGUUUCUGACUAUAGUUCCAUCUUCAUCCAGCUUGUUUCUGAAUACCCAUCUUGUCCCAAUGAUUGAUGUAUCUUUUGGUUUUGGAACUAGUUCUAUACAUCAUUUCUCUCAAAUUGGUUGAGUUCUUCUUGCAUAGCUUGAAUCCAGUAGUUGUCGUCGAGGGCUUCAUCAACUUUCUUGGGCUCAAUUUGAGAGACAAAACAGUCAAGAACACUGUUUCCUUGAAUGGAUGAUCUGGUUUUAACACCAGCUUGAUGGUCACCAAUGAUUUGAUCAGUGGAAUGUGGGUUCCUGAGCAACCUAUUGGAUGGAAGCUCAAAGACUUCGAUUUCGACAUUGGUAGUUUCUUCAGUUGGAAUGAUGAUUUCUGGUUCUGGAACUAUUUCAUCUUCUUCUACAAUGGUUGUCUGAGUGGAUUCAUCAAAGUCAAUGUGUAAUGAUUCGAUCAUUAUUUGUUUUUCUUUGAGAAGAAUUUUGUAGGCUUUGCUCCUUCUAGAGUAUCCUACCAGGAUACCUUCAUCAGAUUUCUGAGCAAAUUUGUCUUGGUUGCCUCUUGUUCGGAGAACAUAACAUUUGCAUCCAAAGACCUUGAAGUGUGAGACUUUUGGCUUUCUUCCAUUCUAGAUCUCAUAUGGAGUUUUGUUCAAGGUUUUUCUAAUAAUCACCUUGUUUAAUAUAUAACAGGCUGUGUUAACAGCUUCUGCCCAGAGAUACUGUGGUGAAUCAUGUUCUUGUAACAUGGAUCUACUCAUCUCUUGUAGAGUUCUGUUUUUCCUUUCAACAACUCCAUUCUGAGGGGGUGCUUGGGGAAAAGCAAAUUCAUGUUUUAUUCCAUAAGUUUUGCAAAAUUCUUCAAACUCAGAGUUUUUGAAUUCUCCUCCAUAAUCACUUCUGAUUCUUUUUAUGAGAACAUCCUUCUCAUUUUGUACACGUGUACAAAAUGAUGAGAACUCGUUGAAUAAGUCACUUUUAUUUCGUAAGAAGAAAACCCAAGUAAAUCUUGAGUAAUCAUCUACUAUUACAUACGUAAACCUUUUACCGCCAAGACUUUGGGUUUGGGUUGGCCCAAAUAAGUCCAUGUGUAGAAGUUCCAAAGGUCUGGACAUAGUAAUAUCUGUAAGGGAUUUGAAUGAGCUUUUAUACUGUUUCCCUUUUUGACAAGCAUCACAGAGAUUACUUUUCUCAUAUGCUAUUUUAGGCAGUCCAGUCACCAGUUCUUCUUUUGAUAGUUUGGAUAAUCGAGAAUAACUGGUGUGACCUAACCUUCUAUGCCAUAAAGUCUUUUCAUCACUUGCUGCGAUCAUGCAGAAGUCAUAAGUUAGCUUGGAGGGAUUAAAGGUUAUGGAAUAAGCAUUGUUUUUCCUAUAUCCUUUAGCAAUUAUAACUCCCUUGGAGUUAAUGAUUAAGCAUAGAUGUUUUUCAAAUUUAACUGUGCAAUCAUUAUCACAUAAUUGACUUAUGCUGAUAAAAUUAUGUUUAAGUCCAUUAACUAAGUAAACAUUUCUAAGAAAUGGUCUAUCUAUAUUACCUAUAAUACCCCUACCUACAAUGGUACCUUCGUUGUUAUCGGCGAACUUGACCUUCUUAGUAGUAGGCCAGUCAGUCAAGUCUGUCAGCAGACUUGAAUCUCCAAUCAUGUGCCUUAUGCAUCCACUGUCGAACAACCAUUUUGACAUAUGUUUUUCCUAAAAGAGUUGAAUAACCUUUUGGUACCCAUACUGAGUUGGGUCCAGAUGAAUUAACAUAGUUGAUUUGCUUAUAAUUUUUUAACUCAUCCUUGGUCAUCCAUUUUUGUUUUGGAUGAUUCAUCUUAGAUAGAUCUUUCUUUUUCUUAAGAUGAAUAGGUUUUCUGUAGCUAGAUUCUCUUACAAAAUAAUCAUUAUAAGUUAAAGCAUGUAAAGGUUUUUUAAUAGGUGCACUUGAUUCAAACCCUAAGCCAAAUUUCUUUUGACCUGAGCUUGAACCUUGCAAUAUGUCAUUUAGCUUAGAUGAACUAUUUGAGAAUUUUUCAAGAAUAUUAUUCUUCUGACCUAUUCUUUUGAUUUGUAAUUGCAUAUCAUUACAUUUUUCAGAUAAUUUUUGUAUGGUUUCUACAUGCUCAAGUAUGAUUUUGUCCUUAGAUUCUAUUUCUGUUUUGAGCAUGAUUGUUUCGUUUUCUUUUAACAUAAUAUCAUCUUCAAAAUUAUCUAUUUUUAAUUCUAGCAAUUCAAUCUUAUCAUCAUCCAUUUCCUUAGAUUGAUUUUCUUCAGAUUCUAAAAUGUUAAGCAAUUCAAAGUUUUGACUCUUAAGUAUCUUAAUUUUUUCUUCAUCUUUGUUUAAUUUACUUGUGAGUUUUAGAUUUCUUUCUUUCAAUUGCAUGCAUUCUUUUUGUGAUUCUUCUAAUUCAAUUGAUUGAUUUAUAUGUGAUUUAUUCAUGCAUUAUAGUUUUAAUGACUUAGUUAAUUUUUUCUUAUUUUUAUAUUUUUCCAUUAAUUCUAGAUAUGCUUCUUCUAAAGAAUUAAAUCUAGUAUUUGCAAAACUUACCUCAGAGUUGCUUUCAUGAGCCAUGAGACAAUCUUCUUGAUCCGAGUCGGAGUCUGUCCAUUGUGCCUGAUUUGCUCUUUCUUUCUUUAGCAGAGGACAUUCUGGUUUGAUGUGUCCCGACUUGUCGCAUAGAUAACAGAUUGGUUCUUUUGACUCCUUGCUCAUUCUUCUGUCGAACUUCUGAUGACUUGACCUUGAGUCUUUCUUCUCUUUCCUCUUUUUCAGAUAUCUUCUCAGAUGAUUGGUGAUCAUUGCUAGAUCAUCUUCUGAUGUUUCAUUGUCAGAUUGACUUUUAAGAGCAAUAUCCUUUUUCUCUUCUUUACCUCUAGAGAUGAAUCUUUCUUCUUCAUAGGCCAUCAGAUUUCCACAGAGUUCCACAACUGUAAGUUUGUUGAGAUCAUGAGCCUCUUGGAUAGCAUUCCUUGUGGAGUAGUACUUGUUUGGAAGGCUCCUCAGAAUUUUGCUUACUUGCUUAUUCUCAGUUAUUGGAUCUCCUAGUCCAGCCAGAUCAUUAACUAUUUGUGAUAGUCUAAUGUUCAUCUCUGCGAUAGUCUCGUCUUCCUUCAUAGAGAAUCUUUCGAACUGAGAGGUAGCAUGUAACAGCUUGUUUUUUUUAACAUGGGAGGUUCCUUCAUGUAGAUCCUCCAAUGCUUUCCAUACCUUGUGAGCUGUAUCCAAGCAUCGAAUUCUGUUGUACUCAGAUUCAUUGAGUGCUCCAUAUAGAGCAUUCAAUGCUCUUGAGUUGUUGUUUUCCUUGAGGAUGUCCAUUUCUCCCCAAGUCUCUUCAUUGCUUGUUGGAAUUUCAUAAUCCUCUAAUAUGAUCUUCCAUACUCCAUUGUUGAUUGACUUUAAGUAUAACUUCAUCUUGUUCUUCCAGAAGUCAUACUUUACUCCAUCGAACCUGGGAGGUUUGUUUGACACAAGACCAGUGUUGAAUUCACCAUUUGGUGCCAUAGUUGUUGUUGUAAGAUGUUAGUCAAACUUCAACGGUACUUGGCUCUGAUACCACUUGUUGGAUCGAGAUCCGAGGCUAUAAGGGGGGAUAAUAGCCUCUUUUCGAUUUAUGCAAGUUAAUAGCGAAAUUACCUACACACACUUAAGUACACAAAUAGUUGUAUAAUAAUAAUAGUAUAAUAUUGUUAGCAAUACAAUACUAUUAUAUAAUUUUAAAGAAUAUAAUAUUAUAUCUUAUAAUAUUAUAUAUUGGACUUGCCUUUUGCUCUUGAAGUUUACUACAGUAUAUGAAUACGUAGUCAACUUUUCAGAUGGUGUUUUAUAAACAACUAUAGUAUAUGAAUACUAAGUUAUAUUAUAAACACAAGUUAUAUUAUAGAGUAAAUGACUAGAUAACUGGAUAUAUUGAUAAGCAAGUAAAUGACCAGAUAACUGGAUAUAUUGAUAACCAAAUAAAUGACCAGAUAACUGGAUAUAUAUAUGAUAAGUAAAUGCUUGAACAAAUAUAUGAAUAAAGAUUUAAAGCAAAGAAUAUAACCUCAGAUAGUUGACCAGAUAACUGGAUGAGGGAUCUGCGUAAAGUAGUCAACCUCUGUAUUUGACCAGAUAACUGGAAGAGGGAUCCUUUUCAAUUAAGUGUUGUUUAGUUGUUUUUAGAUGAAAGAUAAAAACUAGAGUUAACAAAAAACAAUACAAGAGAUUUAUACCGGUUCACCCAAACAAGGGCUAGUCCAGUCCCGACCAACUGUCGGAAUUCACUCGCCUAAAGGUUAUGGCAAAACCUUAGAGUAUCAAGGAAACUCUUAAGAACUUCUCUAAGCUUUAAGGCUACUUCGCUUAGGAACCAGUCUUUUACGGGUAGACUCACACCUUAGAGUAUCAAGGGCACUCUUAAGAACCUCUAACUUUUGCGGGUAAGUUAGUACCUUAGAGUAUCAAGGAACUCUUAAAAAUCUCUCUAAGCUUUAAGGCUACUUCGCUUAGGAACCAGUCUUUUACGGGUAGACUCACACCUUAGAGUAUCAAGGGCACUCUUAAGAACCUCUAACUUUUACGGGUAAGUUAGUACCUUAGAGUAUCAAGGAACUCUUAAAAACCUCUGAAAUCUUUCAAGGUAGACUCGACCUAAGAGUUUUCCCGGAAACUCUAUAAAACCAAACUAGAGCUUUAUGGUUGAGCUCAAAAACCUUCUCUCACACUUUGGUACUAUUGAAACAACCCUCUCAACCAAAGUGGACACACACAAGAGAGGAGAUUAGAGGAGUGGAAUAUUAAAGCAAACAACACUUCUUACUUGUAAAGAUGAACAAGAAGAUUAGAAGAAGAAGUUGGAGAGCUUUUGAAGCUUUGGAAAGCUAUGACACUUGAGCACUUGAAAGCUUGGAAGCUUGGAGGCAAAAACGUGUGGGCAAGUGUGGAGUGAAAGCUCUUGAGUUUGCUUGUAGUGUGGUGAGUGAAAAUGAGGGGAUUACCCUUCUAUUUAUAGCCUUGGCCACUCAAUGUCCACCCUUGGAUCUUCAAUGGAUGGCUCUUUGAUUUCUCACAUAAAUCCAAGCUUUGUCUUUGAUCUUAUCUUGAAUAGUGCUUUUCUUGGAUAGAGUUUGUUGGAGAAUCUUAUCUUUGUAUAAAUUCAAAC
rnacentral:lncRNA from 1 species